rnacentral:rRNA from 1 species
CCCUUAGAUGUUCUGGGCCGCACACGCGCUACACUGAAGGAGGCAGCGUGUACUCCUGGAUCGAAAGAUUUGGGUAACCCGCGAAUCUCCUUCGUGCUAGGGAUUGAGGUUUGCAAUUAUCCUUCAUGUACGAGGAAUUCCCAGUAAGUGCAAGUCAUAAGCUUGCGCUGACUACGUCCCUGCCCUUUGUACACACCGCCCGUCGCUACUACCGAUUGAAUGAUUUAGUGAGGACUUCGGACUGGGACCGAUGCGGCUUUCGGGCUGCGUCGGUAUUCUGGAAAGAUGUCCAAACUGUAUCAUUUAGAGGAAGUAAAAGUCGUAACA